rnacentral:rRNA from 1 species
AUGAUCGUGGAAAAGUACUUCCGCGAGUCGCAUCCUGAAAUCGAGCCUGCGCCAACGCGUCUACUCUCCACAGGACCAACAGCACCCACAUCCUCUCGACGCUCGGUUCGCCGCGCAGGUGGAGGCAGCGCUCUCGUGGCCAGAAGCGGGACGAAUCGACGAUUCCGGCGGCCUGCCGGCGGUGACGACCGGAUCAGCGCCCUCCACGAUGAUCUGCUCCUCCUCGUCCUGCGACGCGUCGACUCGCGCACGGCGCUCCGCACAGGGCUGCUAUCCAGUCGCUGGGCGCGCCUCCCACGCGAGCUCCCUGCCCUCGACUUGAGGGUCGGCGACAUACUGCCGCGGCGCUACCGCCGAUGGGUCCUCCUCCACAGCCACAUUUAUCACAAGGGAACUUAUAUACCGUACAGACUCGACGGCAUAAAGGAGCAGCUCAUGCCUAACAUCAGGAGAUACCAGCGCCGCGCCAUGCGCGCCUUGUCCAGAUCCGUUAAUAGCCUCUUGGACGCCGACGACAGCGCCCAAGCUCGCCGGAAAGUUGAUAGGCUGAGGCUCGAGUUCUUCAUCACCCACAACACAGCCUGCAUGAACCGGCUAAUUUCCAAGGCCAUGGAUGCUUGGGGGAUCAAUGAACUCGAGGCUGUUGCUAAGCCAACUCACUGGCAUCAAACAGUCCACACUUUUCCCAGCCAUGGCCUCUGCCAAGAUCCCCGCUCCUCAUCCCUGAGGAGCCUUAAGCUUGGAGGUUGCCUGCUCCGGCCGCUGCACGACUACAGCGCGCUCUCUACGCUCGUCCUGCAAGACAUACCGGAGUUGUCCGGGGCAGCCUACGAGGGCAUCUUCACCUCGUGCACGCGGCUACUCGUGCUGCACCUCCACUCCUGCAGUUGCACUCAGGACAAGGUCGUGGUGGUGGUGGAUGCCCCCAGCUCAGAGAUCGGAGAGCUCGUCGUCCACGAGUGCAAAUUCUCGAUGUGCCUCAGGGCACUUCCCAAACUCGAGAGCCUAGCCUCGAUCGAGACCGGAGUGCACUUCGAAUCAACUUCAUUCCCCUGCCUCAGGCGAUGGAACCUCGCAUGUAACAUCGGUGUCAGAUUGGACGGAUUGCGCCAAUACUUUGCGCGGCACCUAGAACUGGAUUUGUUUCUUGAAUGCACCCCGGAUAUAAGCGACAUGAUUAUCCGCUUCACCGGACCUGACAGAUGGAUCGAGCCGUCUAGCUCCCCGUCGUCAUUACUGUUACCUAACCUCAGGCGGCUGCUGGCCGCCGAUGUGCCUUCGUCCUGGGAUGUGUCAUGGCCCCGUCUUCUCCUUGAGGUGGCACCCUCCCUCGAGAUCUUCCACAUUCACAUUGCCCCUUGCAUGGAGGAGCCGGGCGAUGAGAUAUCAUGGCAGCCCGCAAAGCUUCGGCGGCAUCACCUCAAGGAAUUUGUAAUGGCUGGUUUUGAGGGGACGGAAAGGCAGAUUUACCUAGUCAAGUUUGUCAUGGGAGUAUGUACGGCAUUGCGCCGUGUCGCCAUGUUCAAGAGUGGACAUGCUCUGGAUAAGGGGCACUGGGACUGGGAGAUGGUGACGCACCAAAGCACAUGGACUGAAGAAGAGAAGGGCUCGUUGCUGGAGCAGAUCACGGGUGGGGUUUCUUCCUCCACAACUCCUGUUCAACUCAACUUCGGCUGA